rnacentral:rRNA from 1 species
GACGAACGCUGGCGGCGUGCUUAACACAUGCCAGUCGAACAGAAAGGCCCUUCGGGGUACUCGAGUGGCGAACGGGUGAGUAACACGUGGGUGAUCUGCCCUGCACUUUGGGAUAAGCCUGGGAAACUGGGUCUAAUACCGAAUAGGACCACGCGCUUCAUGGUGUGUGGUGGAAAGCUUUUGCGGUGUGGGAUGGGCCCGCGGCCUAUCAGCUUGUUGGUGGGGUAAUGGCCUACCAAGGCGACGACGGGUAGCCGGCCUGAGAGGGUGACCGGCCACACUGGGACUGAGAUACGGCCCAGACUCCUACGGGAGGCAGCAGUGGGGAAUAUUGCACAAUGGGCGCAAGCCUGAUGCAGCGACGCCGCGUGAGGGAUGACGGCCUUCGGGUUGUAAACCUCUUUCAAUAGGGACGAAGCGCAAGUGACGGUACCUAUAGAAGAAGCACCGGCCAACUACGUG